GGCCAGACUCCUACGGGAGGCAGCAGUGGGGAAUAUUGCACAAUGGGGGGAACCCUGAUGCAGCGACGCCGCGUGGGUGAAGGAGUAUUUCGGUAUGUAAAGCCCUAUCAGCAGGGAAGAACAAUGACGGUACCUGACUAAGAAGCACCGGCUAACUACGUGCCAGCAGCCGCGGUAAUACGUAGGUGGCAAGCGUUGUCCGGAAUUACUGGGUGUAAAGGGAGCGUAGGCGGGAAAGCAAGUUGAAUGUUUAAGGUACGGGCUCAACCUGUACAAGCGUUCAAAACUGUUUUUCUUGAGUGGAGUAGAGGUAAGCGGAAUUCCUAGUGUAGCGGUGAAAUGCGUAAAUAUUAGGAGGAACACCAGUGGCGAAGGCGGCUUACUGGGCUUUAACUGACGCUGAGGCGCGAAAGCGUGGGGAGCAAACAGGAUUAGAUACCCUGGUAA
rnacentral:rRNA from 1 species